UCAGUGAAUCAUCGAAUCUUUGAACGCACAUUGCGCCCGCCAGUAUUCUGGCGGGCAUGCCUGUUCGAGCGUCAUUUCAACCAU
rnacentral:rRNA from 1 species